GAUGCAUGCAAGUCGAACGGUUUUAUAGUCCGUAAGGAUUAUAAGAUAGUGGCGAACGGCUGAGUAACGCGUAAGUAACCUACCUUUAAGUGGGGAAUAACUUACCGAAAGGUAAGCUAAUACCGCAUGUGCUGGCGGAUGUUAAUUUGUCAGUAAAGCCUUCGGGCGCUUAGAGAAGGGCUUGCGUCUGAUUAGCUUGUUGGUGGGGUAAUGGCCUACCAAGGCGAUGAUCAGUAGCUGGUCUGAGAGGACGACCAGCCAGAUAGGGACUGAGACACGGCCCUGACUCCUACGGGAGGCAGCAGCAAGGAAUCUUGCGCAAUGGGCGAAAGCCUGACGCAGCGACGCCGCGUGGGGGAUGAAUGCUUUCGAGUUGUAAACCCCUUUUCCUGAGGAAGAAUAAUGACGGUACUCAGGGAAUAAGUCUUGGCUAACUACGUGCCAGCAGCCGCGGUAAUACGUAGAAGGCAAACGUUAUUCGGAUUUACUGGGCGUAAAGCGGGUGUAGACGGCUUUUUAAGUCGAUUGUGAAAUCUCCAGACUCAAUUUGGAGGGGACAGUCGAAACUAAGAGGCUAGAGGGCGACAGAGGAAGGCGGAAUUCCCGGUGUAGCGGUGAAAUGCGUAGAUAUCGGGAGGAACACCAGUGGCGAAGGCGGCCUUCUGGGUCGCACCUGACGUUGAGACCCAAAAGCGUGGGGAGCAAAACGGAUUAGAUACCCGUGUAGUCCACGCCCUAAACGUUGGACACUAGGUAUGGGGGGUAUCGACCCUCUCUGUGCCGAAGCUAACGCUUUAAGUGUCCCGCCUGGGGACUACGGCCGCAAGGUUAAAACUCAAAGGAAUUGACGGGGGCCCGCACAAGCAGCGGAGCGUGUGGUUUAAUUCGAUGCUACGCGAAGAACCUUACCAAGGCUUGACAUGCUAGUAGUAGAAACCCGAAAGGGAGACGACCUGUAUCCAGUCAGGAACUAGUACAGGUGCUGCAUGGUUGUCGUCAGCUCGUGCCGUGAGGUGUUAGGUUAAGUCCUGCAACGAGCGCAACCCUUGUCGUUAGUUAAUAUCUCUAGCGAGACUGCCCGUACAACGAGGAGGAAGGUGAGGAUGACGUCAAAUCAGCAUGGCCCUUACGCCUUGGGCUACACACACGCUACAAUGGGUGAUACAAUGGGUUGCUAAUGAGCGAUCUGGAGCUAAUCCCAAAAAUCAUCCUCAGUUCGGAUUGCAGGCUGAAACUGCCUGCAUGAAGGCGGAGUUGCUAGUAACCGCAGGUCAGCACACUGCGGUGAAUACGUUCUCGGGCCUUGUACACACCGCCCGUCACGUCAUGGGAGUCGGUAACACCUGAAGUCGAUGGACUAACCUUCGGGGAGUAGUCGCCGAGGGUGGGACCGGUAACUGGGACGAAGUCGUAACAAGGUA
rnacentral:rRNA from 1 species